rnacentral:lncRNA from 1 species
UGGAAAAUUCCAUCUCUCCCCAAUGCAUCUUAAAAUUGUCACUUGCUUGAUUUUGUUUUGUUUUAAGAUUCUAUUUAUUCAUGAGAGACACAGAGAGAGAGAGAGGCAGAGACAGAGGAAGAGGGAGAAACAGGCUCCAAGGAGAGAGCCCAAUGCGGGGCUCCAUCCCAGGACUCCAGGAUCACACCCUGAGCCAAAGGUAGAAGCGCAACCACUGAGCCACCCAGGCGUCCCUCACUUGCUUGAUUUUGGAUGGAGUCUUACACUCCAGGCUGUAGAAGGGCCAUCCGAAGGGCGAGAUGAACAGGAAAAGGGAAUUGAAUACAGUGAAAUUCUAUUCUUCUAUUAAGAGACUGGAGUCCCCUUUAUUCCUUCAUGUGUGCUAGGUGUAAGGAGUUGGUGUGUCAGCUGACAACCGUUCAUGGAAACCUCACCAAGAAAUGUCUGAUUUUCUAUAGAAUUUAAAGCCCCAGACUGAUCUAUUUUAGUUUCCAGGCAGGUGCUAAUUCUUAUGGCUACAGCAGGCAUCUCUCACUCUUUCAUGUGGCGUUUGGCUAAUAAUAGCUACCAUUUAUUGGCAGCUGCUAUGUUCUGAGAACAAGUUCAGCACUUUCUCUAAUUUGUUUCAUUUAAUCCUAACAGCAACACUGAAACUUGUUCUCCUCAUAUUAUAAAAGAAACUGAGGGCAGAUUUGGGCAGAUUAAAUAAUUUACUUGGGGUUAGAUAUCACCUACACUGCACAGCCAGCCCGGAGACCCAGGUUUUUUAGCUCCAAACCUGUACCCUGAAGGCAUUACAGAAUAGUGAUUAUGACUGUGGGCUCUAAGCCCUCCUGACUGGGCUCAAAUGCCCACCGUGUCAGCCUGGGCAACUUGUGGAACCUUUCUGUGCCUUGGUUUCCUCAUCUGAAAAUGGAGUUCUUAACCCAGUUAACAAAUAGGCGAAAGAUCUGGACGGAUGGCAAAUAAGCGUAUAAAACGAUGCUCAACGACAUACAUCAUUAAGAAAUUGCAAGUGAAAACAACAAUGACAUACCACCACGCCCCUAUUGGAAUAGCUAAAAUCCAAAACAUCGAUAACCCCAAAUACUGGGGAGGAUGUGGAGCGCCAGGAACUCUCAUUUAUUGCUUAUGGAAACGCGAAAGGGUACAGCCACUUUGGAAGACAGUUUGGUGAUUUCUUAUAAAGGUACACAUUCUUAGCAUAUGGUCUAGCAACCGUACUCUUCAACGUGGACUCGAAUAAGUGGAAAACUUAUGUCCACACAAAAACUUGUGCAUGAGUGUUUAGGGCAGCUUUAUUCAUAAUUGCCAACACGUGGAAGCAACCAAAGAUGUUCAAUAAUGGG